UCGGGAUUCGAUUAGAGUUUGAUCAUGGUGAAGAGUUAGCUGGCGGCGGGCCUAACACAUGCAAGCGAACGAGAAAGCCCCUGCUUGCAGGGGCGAGUAAAGUGGCGCACGGGUGAGUAACGCGUGGUUAACUCAUCCUUGGGUUUGGGAUAACGUCCCGAAAGGGGCGCUAAUACCGGAUAAGACCACGGUGUCCACGGGCACUGGGGUAAAAGUGGGCCUCUACAUGUAAGCUCAUGCCUGAGGAUGAGACCGCGUCCCAUUAGCUUGUUGGUGAGGUAACGGCUCACCAAGGCCGCGAUGGGUAGCUGAUCUGAGAGGAUGAUCAGCCCCCCUGGGGACUGGAACACGGCCCAGACUCCUACGGGAGGCAGCAGUGAGGAAUCUUGCGCAAUGGGGGAACCCUGACGCAGCCACGCCGCGUGGGUGAAGAAGGCCUUCGGGUUGUAAAGCCCUGUCAGGUGGGAAGAACCGCAGUCUGGCCAAUACCUGGACUGCUUGACGGUACCACCAAAGGAAGCACCGGCUAACUCCGUGCCAGCAGCCGCGGUAAUACGGAGGGUGCAAGCGUUGUUCGGAAUUACUGGGCGUAAAGCGCGUGUAGGCGGACCGGUAAGUUGGGAGUGAAAGCCCUGGGCUCAACCCAGGAAGUGCUUCCAAUACUGCCGGCCUGAGUCCGGAGAGGUGGUGGAAUUCCCGGUGUAGAGGUGAAUUCGUAGAUAUCGGGAGGAACACCAGUGGCGAAGGCGACCACUGGACGAGAACUGACGCUGAGACGCGAAGCGUGGGGAGCAACAGAUAGAUACCCUGUAGUCACGCGUAACGUGUCACUAGGUGUACGGAUUGACCCCGCUGGCCGAGCUACGCAUAUGACCGCCUGGGAGUCCGCCGCAGUAAACUCAAGGAAUGACGGGGCCGCCAGCGUGGAGACUGUGUUAAUUCGACGCAACCGGCGAACCUUACUGGGUUUGAUACCUCUGAGCCUUG
rnacentral:rRNA from 1 species